GCAGCAGCCGCGGGAAUACGGAGGGUGCAAGCGUUAAUCGGAAUUACUGGGCGUAAAGCGCACGCAGGCGGUCUGACAAGUCAGAUGUGAAAUCCCCGGGCUUAACCUGGGAACUGCAUUUGAAACUGUCAGGCUGGAGUCUUGUAGAGGGGGGUGGAAUUCCAGGUGUAGCGGUGAAAUGCGUAGAGAUCUGGAGGAAUACCGGUGGCGAAGGCGGCCCCCUGGACAAAGACUGACGCUCAGGUGCGAAAGCGUGGGGAGCAAACAGGAUUAGAUACCCCUGUAGUCCCUGUCUCUUAUAA
rnacentral:rRNA from 1 species